CGGGAGCAUACUUGUUGUGUUCCUAGAUUAUCCUAACAACUUAUAAGGAAUCACAAACUAUUUUUAGAUUAUCCUAAUCACUUUUAUAUUUUUUUCUUUCUUAUAUAUUUGCAUUAGAAAUUCUUUCUUACUUUUUUUAUUCUUCCUCACAUCCUUUCACCUUUAGAUUAAUUGGCCAAUGUAUAUGUGCAUGUAUAUAUCCGCACAAGGAGGUUGAGUUUCCAAGUGCGGAAAUAUUGGACGUUGAGAUAGGGAGUUGUUGUAGAGCACUUUUUUUUCUUUCAAUGUUGCCAACAAUUUAGAUUGCAAGUGGAUUUCGAAAACUCUUGAAGAUGUUCUUAGUACUGGUUCUACUACCUUUAUACGAAAUAAUGGUUCCACAUUGCUGGGAGAAAUAAGGCCUUGUUUAGAUCAAAUUUUUUUUGGGUUUUUACACUGUAGCAAUUUGGUUUUUAUUUAACAAACAUUGUCCAAUCAUGGAGUAACUAGGCUUAAAAGAUUCAUCUC
rnacentral:lncRNA from 1 species